GUCCAUGAGUCCCCAGAUUACAUCACACUUCACAACCAACGAGUGGCUCAUGCACCACGGCCAACAGGAUUUCCAUUUACAGAUAACCAGCUGAUAGUUUCAAAGUAAUAUUUAGAUACAAACGCGUUGGCUCAACAAUAUAUUUCGAUGUCUGGAAUGUAAAAAGGGUCGUAUGCUGACUUCGCAACAUCACGAUUGGCUCCGCGAUUGAAAUUGUGGUCUUUAUCGUGAGCGUAACGUGAGAGAGGGAAGGUACAGCGAUAACAUCCAAAUGCGCACUUCGAAAGAGUCGCAUAAUUAUUCACAAGAAUAAGAAUUCUGGUUAGGAACCAGCCCAUUAAGAAAGCGUUGGUGGCGUUGAAAAUCAAUUCAAAUACAACAUUAUGGCAUUAUUAAGUAAUAUAAAUUACAAGACACAGUUACUGGAAAUAUGCCAGAAAGUGUUAAACUGUUAAUGUGGGUUAUGUUUUGUAUCUGUGUAAAUUAGUGCGUUUUAUAUAAAAUGAUAUGUGUAGGGAGUGGUGACACAUGAGUUUUUUUCAUGACUUGCUAUAAUUUGUACUUUAUAAUUAUCCGUGAAACGUUAACUGUUUUUGAAAAAAAUCACGGCUUCUGACAUAGGUCACUGGUUUCCUGUGUUUGUAGAACCAAAUUGUGUCCAUGUUUCGUAUGAAAGGAUCUGCACAGACGAAUGGGGAUCACCCAGCACAUCAGAUGGCUUGUGCACAUGCAAGAGUUUUCUCCUUUACAGGAUAACAUUAUUAUACCCCCAUUACCAUUGGUAAUGGGGCUAUAUAGGAGUCACUUUGUCGGUCUGUCGGUCGGUCUGUCUGUCCCGUAAAUUUCAUCCGAUCUUCAGCAAACUUGGUCAGAAGUUGUAUCUAGAUGAUGUCUAGGUCAUGUUUAAAUAUGGGUCAUGCCGGGUCAAAAAUUAGGUCACGGGGUCACUUAGUGCGUUUUACACCGAAAGUUUGUUCGGACCAUAACUAUGUCAUGUAUCGUUAGAUUUUAUCACUUAGUACAUUUGUUAACAAUCAUUUGCCGGCGUGUCAUGCGAAAGAAGUACCUCGAUAUCUCCAAGGUCAAGGUCACACUUGGAGUUCAAAGGUCAAAUGCUUUUCCGGGCCACAACUUUGUCAUUUAUUGUGAGACUUUCACAUCAUUUGGCACAUUUGUUCACCAUCAUUGGACAGUGUGUCAUGCAAAAGAAUUACGUCGAUAUCUCAAAAGUCAAGGUCACACUU